AUUGAACGCUGGCGGUAUGCUUAACACAUGCAAGUCGAACGGUAACAGCAGAGCUUGCUCUGGCUGACGAGUGGCGGACGGGUGCGUAACGCGUGGGAAUUUACCUUGUAGUGGGGGAUAGCCCGGAGAAAUCCGGAUUAAUACCGCAUAAUCUCUACGGAGCAAAGUGGGGGAUCUUCGGACCUCACGCUAUUAGAUGAGCCCGCGUUAGAUUAGCUUGUUGGUGAGGUAAUGGCUCACCAAGGCGACGAUCUAUAGCUGGUUUGAGAGGAUGAUCAGCCACACUGGGACUGAGACACGGCCCAGACUCCUACGGGAGGCAGCAGUGGGGAAUAUUGGACAAUGGGCGCAAGCCUGAUCCAGCAAUACCGCGUGUGUGAAGAAGGCCUGAGGGUUGUAAAGCACUUUCAAUAGGGACGAAAAGCUCAGGGUUAAUACCCUUGAGUCUUGACUUAACCUAUACAAGAAGCACCGGCUAACUCCG
rnacentral:rRNA from 1 species